rnacentral:lncRNA from 1 species
CUGUACGUCCUAGGCGUCGCAAUCAAUACAAUUCACGAUGUUCCAACCAAGAACAGAAAUCAACAUACAGAUUGCAUAUGGAAAGGUAUCAACAACAUAAACACAUCUUAUGUUAUUACAAGCAUUCACAUUGAUACAUUUGCUUACAUCUCAAUUACACUUUCUCUCCAACAUACAAUAUGAGUUAUUACAAUUUAUUACACAUUUGAUACAUCUUGUUCUUUUAUUUUCCUCUACCCCUAGGCUAUGCUGACUCGGGGUACCACUAUCUUUGGUCUCUGGGUAGGGUGCUAUCUACGGAGCUACGCCCUUGCCUCGCGCCGCUGCGCCGCUCAUGUGCAAACCUGUAAAACCCUAAAACAACGUGUGGUGAGAACCAACUCCAUGGUUCCCAGUGGGUACAGCCACCCAGGGGAAAAGCUCGACCAAUAGGUCCAAGGAAGCACUGCAACAAGUUAGUCCAAUAACAUAUAACAGAUAUAUAUAUUCGAUAUUGAACUAAAUGUCAUGCCUCGCAAAAUGCAAUAUGCAAUAUCCGUAACUUGAUUCUACUUCAUAUUAUUAACCAUUCUUUACUUGUAGCCGUUCUUUACUUUAUUAGUUAUUCUUUAUCAUUAGCUUUUCUCUAGUCUUUACUUGGUCACAUAACGCUCAUUGGCGAUUCUUUCCUAAGGUUGCUCAUACCUUAGCCAUCUAUGCCACUUGACUCGGUUUUGAGUCAAUCCUCUACGGAUAGUCCGCACACUGGCUGCUCAACAGCCCAUCGCACUCGAUGACUCGGCCACCCGGCGGCGAAAUCGUCGCACACGCACAGCUCUGGCUCAAGUCACCCUGCGGUAUGAUCCACAAACUGGCUCAACCAUCCGGCGACGAAAUCGUCGCACACGCCAUGACAAUGGUUCUUUAGCCCCGGGCAGCGAAAUCGUCGCACACACCCUGCACAACUCUUGGUGUUCCACGAGUCCUGAGAUUCUGGAAUCCAUUUCACAGUACUCAAGGAUUGGUCUUAACCCUAUGAAAUUGACCUAUCUAGGUCCAAGCCUUUACUCAACCUAAGUUAAUACUUUAGGUUCAUUGCUUUCAUACUCUUAGCCUAGGUUUAUUAACACUAGGUCCAUUAUUCUCGUCUACCUAGAUUCACUUGACUCUAGGUUCUUACCUUUACCUCACAACCUAUGUUCUCUAACAUUAGGUUUAAUGCCUUUCUCGUUAACCUAUGUUUAUUAACACUAGGUUCAUUAUCACUCUUGUUCAACCUAGGUUCACGACUCUAGGUUCAAUGCCACUCGAUCUAUAUGUAUACAUAUGUCCUUUACUCCUAGGUUCACGACUCUAGGUUCAAUGCCACUCGAUCUAUAUGUAUACAUAUGUCCCUUACUUAGCAUUCUUACAUUAACUAUAUUCUUAGCAUUAACCACAUGCUUGCAUUUAUUAAUUCUACAUCAUGCUUAUCAUACAAUUACUUAGCAUUCUUACAUUAACAUUUCUACACAUACAACAUGACUAACGUAUGUCAUUUAUUCUAUGCUUUCCACUUAGCAUUAUUUACACUAUGUCAUUACGCACCGUUUGGUAGCCUCACUUAGCAUUCAUCUCAUGCAUACACAUGGUCUAUUAAUAGCUACCAUUAUAUGCAUCAAUAAUAAUACUCAUUCUUAGACAUACAGGCGACCUAGUCGCUUCGGUAAAUACAACCGACCUUAACUCGCGUUUCGAUUGCUUGUCGACACUUGCAAUCGGCCUCCCGCGGCACCCGUAUCCGGCACAGCCCAAUAUUGCAAUUGCACCACAACCGUGCUCCGCUUCGCAGCCCCGAAAAUUAUAGGUCUUCGGUUAUGUGCCACGGUGCUCCAAAUCCAUUUCCACGAUUUUACGACGUCGCCUCGGCCCUCCAGACGGCAACGAAGCCUAAACGUCUGUUUCUUUAAUAACUUCGCAACGGCUCGUCGGAUUGCCGAACCGUCUUCGCCAACGCAUUUGUUUACCUAGCAAUUAGGCUUACGAAGGGUUAAAUGAGAUCAAACCCACCUCCUAGCAAAAAUUGCAUUACAGAGCCCUAGGUUACAACUAUUGUAAGAAAUCAUUAAAUUGAUCCAUGAUUCAAGCAUUAAUCCUCUAUUUAGCAUCAUAGGAUUCCAAAUAAGCCAUUUCUAUGGAUUAUAAACAAAGAUUUGAAGAUCUACCAUGAAAGGGCUCAAGAAGAUCACCUCAAAAUGAGCUCUAAACCAUGGAGAAGAUGAGGAAGAUGACGGCGAUUCACCUCCAAGCUUCAAUCUCCGCCAAUUUCUUUAAUUUUGGGAGAGAUUUAGAGAGAGAAUUUGAAGUUCUCUCUCUCCCUUCCAUGCGUGUGUGCGUGCGUGUGUAUGUGCGGUUUGGGCUGCUGUGGCUGAGCAAGGAGAAGAAGAA